rnacentral:rRNA from 2 species
CGACGGCCAGUAGAGUUUGAUCCUGGCUCAGGAUGAACGCCGGCGGUGUGCCUAAUACAUGCAAGUCGAACGCGUUGGCCCAACUUGAUUGAUUGUGCUUGCACAGGAUUGACGUUGGUUUCCCAACGAGUGGCGGACGGGUGAGUAACACGUAGGCAACCUGCCCCGAAGCGGGGGACAACAUUUGGAAACAAGUGCUAAUACCGCAUAACAACUUUGACCGCCUGGUCAAAGCUUAAAAGAUGGUUUCGGCUAUCACUUCGGGAUGGGCCUGCGGCGCAUUAGCUUGUUGGUGGGGUAACGGCCUACCAAGGCGAUGAUGCGUAGCCGAGUUGAGAGACUGAUCGGCCACAAUGGGACUGAGACACGGCCCAUACUCCUACGGGAGGCAGCAGUAGGGAAUCUUCCACAAUGGGCGCAAGCCUGAUGGAGCAACACCGCGUGAGUGAAGAAGGGUUUCGGCUCGUAAAGCUCUGUUGUUGAAGAAGAAUGUGCAAGAGAGUAACUGUUCUUGUAUUGACGGUAUUCAACCAGAAAGUCACGGCUAACUACGUGCCAGCAGCCGCGGUAAUACGUAGGUGGCAAGCGUUAUCCGGAUUUAUUGGGCGUAAAGCGAGCGCAGGCGGUUUUCUAAGUCUGAUGUGAAAGCCUUCGGCUUAACCGAAGAAGUGCAUCGGAAACUGGAUGACUUGAGUGCAGAAGAGGGCAGUGGAACUCCAUGUGUAGCGGUGGAAUGCGUAGAUAUAUGGAAGAACACCAGUGGCGAAGGCGGCUGCCUGGUCUGUAACUGACGCUGAGGCUCGAAAGCAUGGGUAGCGAACAGGAUUAGAUACCCUGGUAGUCCAUGCCGUAAACGAUGAGUGCUAGGUGUUGGAGGGUUUCCGCCCUUCAGUGCCGGAGCUAACGCAUUAAGCACUCCGCCUGGGGAGUACGACCGCAAGGUUGAAACUCAAAGGAAUUGACGGGGGCCCGCACAAGCGGUGGAGCAUGUGGUUUAAUUCGAAGCUACGCGAAGAACCUUACCAGGUCUUGACAUCUUGCGCCAACCCUAGAGAUAGGGCGUUCCCUUCGGGUGACGCAAUGACAGGUGGUGCAUGGUCGUCGUCAGCUCGUGUCGUGAGAUGUUGGGUUAAGUCCCGCAACGAGCGCAACCCUUGUUACUAGUUGCCAGCAUUCAGUUGGGCACUCUAGUGAGACUGCCGGUGACAAACCGGAGGAAGGUGGGGACGACGUCAGAUCAUCAUGCCCCUUAUGACCUGGGCUACACACGUGCUACAAUGGACGGUACAACGAGUCGCGAACUCGCGAGGGCAAGCUAAUCUCUUAAAACCGUUCUCAGUUCGGACUGCAGUCUGCAACUCGACUGCACGAAGUCGGAAUCGCUAGUAAUCGCGGAUCAGCAUGCCGCGGUGAAUACGUUCCCGGGCCUUGUACACACCGCCCGUCACACCAUGGGAGUUUGCAAUGCCCAAAGUCGGUGGGGUAACCUUUUGGAGCCAGCCGCCUAAGGCAGGGCAGAUGACUGGGGUGAAGUCGUAACAAGGUAGCCGUAGGAGAACCUGCGGCUGGAUCACCCCUUUAAA